rnacentral:rRNA from 1 species
ACAAGCGGUGGAGCAUGUGGUUUAAUUCGAUGAUACGCGAGGAACCUUACCUGGGCUCGAACGUAAGAUGACUGUAGGUGAAAGCUUACAUCUCUUCGGAGCAUUUUACGAGGUGCUGCAUGGUUGUCGUCAGCUCGUGCCGUGAGGUGUCGGGUUAAGUCCCAUAACGAGCGCAACCCCUACCUUUAGUUGCCAUCAGGUUAAGCUGGGGACUCUAAAGGAACUGCCUACGCAAGUAGUGAGGAAGGCGGGGAUGACGUCAAAUCAGCACGGCCCUUACGUCCAGGGCUACACACGUGCUACAAUGGCCGAUACAGAGGGCAGCUACCUGGUGACAGGAUGCAAAUCUCCAAAGUCGGUCUCAGUUCGGAUCGGAGUCUGCAACCCGACUCCGUGAAGUUGGAUUCGCUAGUAAUCGCGCAUCAGCCAUGGCGCGGUGAAUACGUUCCCGGGCCUU